GAUGAACGCUGGCGGCGUGCCUAAUACAUGCAAGUCGAGCGGUAACACUUCGGGUGACGAGCGGCGGACGGCUGAGUAACGCGUAGGAACGUACCCCAAACUGAGGGAUAAGCACCGGAAACGGUGUCUAAUACCGCAUGUGGUCUUCGGAUUAAAGCUUCGGCGGUUUGGGAAUGGCCUGCGUCCGAUUAGCUUGUUGGUGAGGUAAAAGCUCACCAAGGCGACGAUCGGUAGCUGGUCUGAGAGGAUGAUCAGCCAGACUGGGACUGAGACACGGCCCAGACUCCUACGGGAGGCAGCAGUAGGGAAUUUUCCACAAUGGGCGAAAGCCUGAUGGAGCAACGCCGCGUGCAGGAUGAAGGCCUUCGGGUUGUAAACUGCUUUUAUCUGUGAAGAUUAUGACGGUAGCAGAUGAAUAAGGAUCGGCUAACUCCGUGCCAGCCGCCGCGGUAA
rnacentral:rRNA from 1 species